CACGUAGGCGGCCAUUCAAGUCAGAGGUGAAAGCCCGGGGCUCAACCCCGGAACUGCCUUUGAAACUAGAUGGCUUGAAUCUUGGAGAGGCGAGUGGAAUUCCGAGUGUAGAGGUGAAAUUCGUAGAUAUUCGGAAGAACACCAGUGGCGAAGGCGACUCGCUGGACAAGUAUUGACGCUGAGGUGCGAAAGCGUGGGUAGCAAACA
rnacentral:rRNA from 1 species